GAUGAACGCUGGCGGCGUGCCUAAUACAUGCAAGUCGAGCGAACGGACGAGAAGCUUGCUUCUCUGAUGUUAGCGGCGGACGGGUGAGUAACACGUGGAUAACCUACCUAUAAGACUGGGAUAACUUCGGGAAACCGGAGCUAAUACCGGAUAAUAUUUUGAACCGCAUGGUUCAAAAGUGAAAGACGUUCUUGCUGUCACUUAUCGAUGGAUCCGCGCUACAUUAGCUAGUUGGUAAGGUAACGGCUUACCAAGGCAACGAUGCAUAGCCGACCUGAGAGGGUGAUCGGCCACACUGGAACUGAGACACGGUCCAGACUCCUACGGGAGGCAGCAGUAGGGAAUCGUCCGCAAUGGGCGAAAGCCUGACGGAGCAACGCCGCGUGAGUGAUGAAGGUCUUCGGAUCGUAAAACUCUGUUAUUAGGGAAGAACAUAUGUGUAAGUAACUGUGCACAUCUUGACGGUACCUAAUCAGAAAGCCACGGCUAACUACGUG
rnacentral:rRNA from 1 species